AGCGAACGCCGGCGGCAGGCUUAACACAUGCAAGUCGAACGCCCCGCAAGGGGAGUGGCAGACGGGUGAGUAACACGUGGGAACGUACCCUUUGGUUCGGAAUAACUUGGGGAAACUCAAGCUAAUACCGGAUAAGCCCUUAUGGGGAAAGGUUUACUGCCGAAGGAUCGGCCCGCGUCUGAUUAGCUAGUUGGUGAGGUUAUGGCUCACCAAGGCGACGAUCAGUAGCUGGCCUGAGAGGAUGAUCAGCCACACUGGGACUGAGACACGGCCCAGACUCCUACGGGAGGCAGCAGUGGGGAAUAUUGGACAAUGGGGGCAACCCUGAUCCAGCCAUGCCGCGUGAGUGAUGAAGGCCUUAGGGUUGUAAAGCUCUUUUACCCGGGACGAUAAUGACUGUACCGGGAGAAUAAGCCCCGGCUAACUUCGUGCCAGCAGCCGCCGUAA
rnacentral:rRNA from 1 species